GGAAUAUAAGAACCUGUCUCUUAACUUUUAACUAAAAAAGCUAAGAACUGGCUCUUAAAUAAGAGAUUUAAGAACCGGUUCUUAAUUUUUUUAGUUAAAAGUUAAGAGACGGGUUCUUAUAUUCC
rnacentral:pre_miRNA from 1 species